CACAUGCAAGUCGAGGGGUAACAUUGUGCUUGCACAGAUGACGACCGGCGCACGGGUGCGUAACGCGUAUAGAAUCUACCUUUUGCUGCAGGAUAGCCCAGAGAAAUUUGGAUUAAUACUGCAUAGUAUACACUACUUUCAUGAGUUAUGUAUUAAAGGUUACGGCAAAAGAUGACUAUGCGUCCUAUUAGCUAGAUGGUAAGGUAACGGCUUACCAUGGCAACGAUAGGUAGGGGCCCUGAGAGGGGGAUCCCCCACACUGGUACUGAGACACGGACCAGACUCCUACGGGAGGCAGCAGUGAGGAAUAUUGGACAAUGGAGGCAACUCUGAUCCAGCCAUGCCGCGUGCAGGAUGACUGCCCUAUGGGUUGUAAACUGCUUUUAUACAGGAAGAAACAUCUCUACGUGUAGAGACUUGACGGUACUGUAAGAAUAAGGAUCGGCUAACUCCGUGCCAGCAGCCGCGGUAAUACGGAGGAUCCAAGCGUUAUCCGGAAUCAUUGGGUUUAAAGGGUCCGUAGGUGGAUAAUUAAGUCAGAGGUGAAAGUUUGCAGCUCAACUGUAAAAUUGCCUUUGAUACUGGUUAUCUUGAAUCAUUAUGAAGUAGUUAGAAUAUGUAGUGUAGCGGUGAAAUGCAUAGAUAUUACAUAGAAUACCAAUUGCGAAGGCAGAUUACUAAUAAUGUAUUGACACUGAUGGACGAAAGCGUGGGGAGCGAACAGGAUUAGAUACCCUGGUAGUCCACGCCGUAAACGAUGGAUACUAGCUGUUCGGAACUUGUUUCUGAGUGGCUAAGCGAAAGUGAUAAGUAUCCCACCUGGGGAGUACGUUCGCAAGAAUGAAACUCAAAGGAAUUGACGGGGGCCCGCACAAGCGGUGGAGCAUGUGGGUUUAAUUCGAUGAUACGCGAGGAACCUUACCAGGGCUUAAAUGUAGAUUGACAGGUUUAGAGAUAGACUUUUCUUCGGGACA
rnacentral:rRNA from 1 species